AACAAACGCUGGCGGCGUGCCUAAUACAUGCAAGUCUAACGGGGAAAGCUUUCGGGCGAGUACUAGUGGCGCACGGGUGAGGAACGCGUGGAUAAUCUGCCUUAGAGUGGGGGAUAACUAGUCGAAAGAUUAGCUAAUACCGCAUAAGACCACAGGAGCUGCGGCUGAAGGGGUGAAAGGUUUUUCGCUCUAAGAUGAGUCCGCGUAAGAUUAGCUAGUUGGUGAGGUAACGGCUCACCAAGGCGACGAUCUUUAACUGGUCUGAGAGGAUGAUCAGUCACACUGUAACUGAGACACGGUCCAGACUCCUACGGGAGGCAGCAGUAGGGAAUAUUGCACAAUGGAGGAAACUCUGAUGCAGCGACGCCGCGUGAGUGAUGAAGGCCUUCGGGUCGUAAAGCUCUGUCGCAGGGGAAUAACACAAUGAAUGUACCCUGUAAGAAAGGAUCGGCUAACUUCGUGCCAGCCGCCGCCGUAAAAC
rnacentral:rRNA from 1 species